GGUCUCGAACUCCUGACCUCAAGCGAUCGGCCCGCCUCGGCCUCCCAAAGUGCCGGGAUGACAGGUGUGAGCCACCACGUCCCACCCGGAAGCGACGUUAGGCUUCAUCCGAUGGCCGGGAAGGAAUCAGAGCAGGGCUGAGUGGCAGGGGCUGGAGAGGAAGGAGCUCCAGGCUUGAAAGCCAUCAAAGCAGGUUGCUUUCGAGAUGGCCAGUGGUCACCUGAGAUGGAGCAGAGAGCAGCUGUGGAAUCCGUCCGUGAACCCUGCAGAGGCCUUCGUGCCUUAAGACAGACGGCGUCCUGCAGGCCUGCCAUGGAGACACCACGUGUGAUCGUAAAAAAAAAAAAAA